rnacentral:lncRNA from 1 species
GAAUUUGUUAGGCUGUUAGAAGUCAGCUGUAUGUGAGUUAGAGCAUAGCUGUAUAUAUUAGCUAGAAAUGAGGUUAUACCUAGUUGUAUGUGCCAGCUAGGAAUGAGUUGUAGUAUCGCUAUAUGUGAAAUUAUGGCCAACUUUCACAGGAUGACUAUGGCCGUUAUUGUAAUAGUUCAUCUCAGUAAAAAAUCGAGGUG